AAAGAAAACAAUGAUAGUAGCAGGAUGGCGGCCAUGAAAGCCAGAAUCCACUAAGGCGUGUUAAACAACUCAUCUGCCAGAUCAGCUAGCUCUGAAAAUAGAUGGCAUUGCA
rnacentral:ncRNA from 1 species